GUCCACUCAUAUAAAAGAGCAAGUAGAAUACAGACACUUUGAUAUUCAAAACUGAAGAGGUUGGUUAUAAAGAUGAGCGAAAAAUCAAUUCUCCAGCAUAUACUGAUUUCUAUAGAACACCGAUGGCUCUACAAGAUAUUACUCAUGAAGAGACUCCGGUAUCUGAAUUUGCUGCUCUAUAUGGAGGAGGAACUUCACCUCAGCAUACUCGCGUGGUCACCUAGUUCGUCCCACGUGGAAGACUGUUUCGGUUGCUGGAGGUGGUGUGUUAACAUGGCUUAAGAUGCAGCAUGGAGUAUGGAUUAUAUUCAUCAUUGUAAAAUACCAAUUGUUCAUUGUGAUUUGAAGUCAUCGAAUCUGCUGGUUAACAAGAACUGGACUGUGAAGGUGAGCAACAUUUUUCUCUUACAUGCACUUAAAUAAAUUUAUACUUCGUAUAUUCAUUCUUUGCACUACAAAGUUGGUGGUUUUGGUCUCUUGUGGCUCAAACAUGCAACCUUUCUUACAACCAAGAAGUGGAGGGAACGAAAAUAACUGCAUAAUAUUGCCUUCAGUAUAUUUGCAUUUUUAAAUUCUAAUUGAGUUGGUUUGUUGUCUAAAUAUUCCUAAUGGGAUUGCCU